GGGAAUAUAGCUUAGUUUGCAGAGCAUUGGUCUACUAUGCAUGAAGCUGUGAAUUCAAUUUUCACUAUUGACA
rnacentral:tRNA from 1 species